CAAGAAUAGGAUUUUUUUUUUUAAUUCUCUCAAAUGUCCACAAAUGUGGCUGCAUACAUAGCUCUAGGAAGAAGGCAGAAAGUCUAACGGCACUAAUCUUGAGUCAGACCAGUGGAGGCUGAACCAGCCCAACCAGGGUUGGGCCACACUGGUUCCUCUAACAAGAAGCACUGCGGCAAUGACCCACCAAAGACCCACGGCUCUCAGCAGUUGAAUGGUGUGUCCAGGCUUCACUGGACUGAGGGCAGAGCUCUCCACACAGGAUGCUGAGCAUCUCCUCAGACCAUCCAGGCUCCCAGGACCCUGGAGGGCUCACCAGGAACCCCCACAUUUGUGUGUAUAGGUUCCUGUUCUUGGUGGUUUGCUUCUGUGAGACAGGCCAUUGCUUCCCAGCCCCCAAACACUCGUUAACCAUUCUCAUGACUGGGCUUGAAGUCUGCUGGGCCGGUAUCUCCUCUCCAUCAACCCUGCAACCCUUGCAGUGCCUGACAUUCCAAGGACUUCAGAUUAAAAGUAUCACUGGGGAAUGCAAAGUACAUAUUCUGGAUGAACGUGCUAUCUGUCAUCUUACUGUCUUGCACUGUUACCCACCUGCAAUACUGAUAUUUAACUUUUUACCUAUUCAGAGGUCUUCUAUCCCCAAUUAAAAAGUUAACAGAAGGAAGACUCUCAUACUCAAAAUUUAAUAAUUUCACUACUUGUUCUCCAUUACAUACAAUCGAUAAAUUUGUAAGGGACUUUACACAUAUGUAGAGAACAAAAUAAGUAUAAACAUUCCCUAGAAAAUCCGGAUUCAAGUAACAGUAGACUUGGCAGGUCCAACAGUGGCAGGAUGAAUCCCACACAAUCACAUCCCCCUACACAAUAGUGGUCACAUUUCCAGUCAGGUAUCCAUCCAUUCUUGCCUCCGUACCAGCUCCAGGGUGAGACCAGGGCUACCUAACCCAGUCCAGGUCACCCUUUCCCCUUUGUGAUCAAGACUGGUUCAAGGAAUCCAGAACUAAGUCAGUCACACAUGGCAUCCCUCGGCCGCUGGGAUCGGUUCUGAAGUGGUUUGAAAAAGAAGAGCUUGGCGCUCUCCGAACACAUUCCCAGCCUCCCUUUUCCCUGAACUCCGGCACACACUGAGCCUGGCAAGGACAUGGCUUCUCAGCCCUGAGGAAGCCAGCCUUAAGGUGAAGCAGGCACUUCAGAAAAGCAGAGCAAGAGAAAAAAGAAAUGGGAUUCCAGAUGGCUUUAUAACAGUUUAUAAAGAAAACAGGCUGAAACCUACCCUAACCUUUUAGACCUCUACAGAACUUCCAGGUCUAGGAACCAAUAGUAUAGUAGGCUAAUGAACUCCUCUGAGCGACAUUCAAGCACACGUACAGUUAUACAGUGCUGACCGCCUGGCACUGUGCUAAGUAGUGAGGUACGGAGAUAAGUGAGGCUCAAACCUAUGCCUUGGGCAACUGGUUCAAAAGGAAGACAGAAGGAGAGUGAUUUUUAGAAAAGUGGUAAACAGACAGCUAGAUAGGAGCAGGGGCUUAAACCCAGCAGGAGGUGAGUGUGUCACUUGAAGGAGGUGAUUAUAAAUUCAAACUUCAUAAUAUGGAAGCAGAAUGGCUCCAGAGUCUCUAUUUUGACAUCUGCAUUCUGUCCCUCAUUUUAGAGGCUCUUAUUUUUCCAGGGGCCUAACAAGGAUUCAGAAAAAAACUAGAGUUCUUUCCCUUCUCUGCUCUCUGCCAACAUGACAUCACACUCUGACCUGGGAAUGGCUUUCGCCUUAUCCUAAUGCAAAGACUUCUACCAAGAAGGCUGUGGAAAACCUAGUGAGCGCUUGUUUGCAAUAGAACUCACUCUCAUUGACCUUUCCCCCCCCAAUGGCUAUUCCAUUAUUUACUUUUUAAGUCACAGAAGAACACAGUCAUCGUAACUAAGCUUUCCAGAAAUUCAGUAUAUGGGGAGUGGGGUCUCCUGUGAAAGGGCCUAAUCCCAUUGAAACAGUAUUUUAUCUUGAUUAGUCCAACAAGACCCUGUAGUAAUGAUCAUUCUCACUCUAGCAAAGUCCGGACCAAAGUCUGCAGACAUUGUUCUGAGAACAGCGACCCGUGGGAAGGAAAAAAGAACAAAGCGUAUAAAACUAUUACAGCUUCAGACUUCAGUGUUUCAUGACUCAUCUUGAUCUAUCUACUUACAUCUAUCCCCAUUAUCCCCAUGCUGUUCUCCCCCUGGAACCCUCAAAAAUGUAUGUGUCCUCUCUCCUCCCUCCAUCAUGUUUCCCCUUCAUUUCUGGGAUGUACCUUUCUCCUUCUACCUGAGGAAUCACUUCAUGUCUAGGGGGGGAAAUCCCAAGAGGCACUUAUAAAGAGCAUACACCACGCAGGCACUCCAGCUACCGUGCCCCCUUCUUCUGUCCCUGUGUUCUGAAGACACACAGUCAUCUUAAAGGGAUAAAAAUCUGCAUCUAUCUUCAUUUUCCUUCACGUUAAAAAAAUUCCAGUAAAAGGGAAAGCCACAGAAACAGCAUCUGUGCUGAGAUCAAAGAUCGUGGGGCUGGCAUUUGAAAAGCACGACUUUGCUUAAUCAAUUGGGAAUCCCAAGUUUGUACAGAAGCCAACCAAAGCAAAAACAAAACAAAGGCUACCUAAUACUGAUACAGUCUAGUGCAAAACACUUAAUAUAAUCAAAACACAAAUGGGCUUUCAAUUUAAGGUAUGAUACUGAACUCUGCACCAUAAACAUUUUCCCUUUAUAAAUUUGCUCAGGUGAAAUACACACCCUACUAUACCAGAGGGUGUUACACCAAGGGUCAAAUGUAAACUGGAAGUCGUACUAUUAAAGAUAAGUUAGGGCCUCAAAUAAGCUCAAAUCAAGCAGCAGCCAAGAUCCAUUAAUAGACUGCACUGAACACUGCAAUGUGGCGAUCCCAUUCCAGACAAGCUCCAAGUCCCAGGAUUAGCAUUCAGACAUACAAUGAGAAGACCAGCAACUAUGCUUUCAGAAAGUGGUCCUGUAAGAUAAGACCUCAAACAAAGUAGACACACGGGAAAGAAUGGUAUGUUUCAAAGUUGUUAUUAUUUUUUAAUUACAAGAUGCCUGGUAGCCUGGCAUUGACCCUGAAGAGAAUACAGUAAAGAACUUUCCUCUGGAAAAACUAAACAGCCCCAAUGGAAAAAAUAUUAUUGAUAUCAGUAUUUAUGACCCCGUAAGUCUACUCUCAGAUGUGGACUAAAGUGUAGUGAGUCCAU